rnacentral:rRNA from 1 species
UACGUAGGGUGCAAGCGUUAAUCGGAAUUACUGGGCGUAAAGCGUGCGCAGGCGGUUUUGUAAGUCUGUCGUGAAAUCCCCGGGCUUAACCUGGGAACUGCAUUGGUGACUGGCAGGCUUUGAGUGUGGCAGAGGGAGGUAGAAUUCCACGUGUAGCAGUGAAAUGCGUAGAGAUGUGGAGGAAUACCGAUGGCGAAGGCAGCCCCCUGGGCCAAUACUGACGCUCAUGCACGAAAGCGUGGGGAGCAAACAGG